rnacentral:rRNA from 1 species
GAACGAACGCUGGCGGCAUGCCUAACACAUGCAAGUCGAACGAGACCUUCGGGUCUAGUGGCGCACGGGUGCGUAACGCGUGGGAACCUGCCCUUAGGUUCGGAAUAACUCAGAGAAAUUUGAGCUAAUACCGGAUAAUGUCUUCGGACCAAAGAUUUAUCGCCUUUGGAUGGGCCCGCGUAGGAUUAGCUUGUUGGUGGGGUAAUGGCCUACCAAGGCGACGAUCCUUAGCUGGUCUGAGAGGAUGAUCAGCCACACUGGGACUGAGACACGGCCCAGACUCCUACGGGAGGCAGCAGUGGGGAAUAUUGGACAAUGGGCGAAAGCCUGAUCCAGCAAUGCCGCGUGAGUGAUGAAGGCCUUAGGGUUGUAAAGCUCUUUUACCAGGGAUGAUAAUGACAGUACCUGGAGAAUAAGCUCCGGCUAACUCCGUG